rnacentral:rRNA from 1 species
UACGGAGGGGGCUAGCGUUGUUCGGAAUUACUGGGCGUAAAGCGCACGUAGGCGGCUUUGUAAGUUAGAGGUGAAAGCCCGGGGCUCAACUCCGGAAUUGCCUUUAAGACUGCAUCGCUAGAAUUGUGGAGAGGUAAGUGGAAUUCCGAGUGUAGAGGUGAAAUUCGUAGAUAUCAGGAGGAACACCGGUGGCGAAGGCGGCCAUCUGGACGACAACUGACGCUGAGGCGCGAAAGCGUGGGGAUCAAACAGG